rnacentral:rRNA from 1 species
CUACGGGCGGCAGCAGUGGGGAAUAUUGGACAAUGGGGGAAACCCUGAUCCAGCAAUGCCGCGGGUGUGAAGAAGGCCUGCGGGUUGUAAAGCACUUUCGGUUGGGAGGACUGCUUCUAGCACUAAUAUUGUUGGAAGUUGACGUUACCUUCAGAAGAAGCACCGGCUAACUCCGUGCCAGCAGCCGCGGUGAAUACGGAGGGUGCAAGCGUUAAUCGGAAUUACUGGGCGUAAAGCGCGCGUAGGCGGCUAGAUCAGUCGGGUGUGAAAGCCCCGGGCUUAACCUGGGAACUGCAUCCGAUACUGUCUAGCUUGAGUACAGGAGAGGAGAGUGGAAUUCCACAUGUAGCGGUGAAAUGCGUAGAUAUGUGGAGGAACACCAAUGGCGAAGGCAGCUCUCUGGCCUGAUACUGACGCUGAGGUGCGAAAGCGUGGGGAGCAAACAGGAUUAGAUACCCGUGUAGUC